UACGGGGGGGGCAAGCGUUGUUCGGAAUUACUGGGCGUAAAGGGCUCGUAGGCGGCCAACUAAGUCGGAUGUGAAAUCCCAGGCUUAACCUGGGAACUGCAUCCGAUACUGGAUGGCUUGAAUCCGGGAGAGGGAUGCAGAAUUCCAGGUGUAGCGGUGAAAUGCGUAGAUAUCAGGAGGAACACCGGUGGCGAAGGCGGGUCUCUGGGCCGAUACUGACGCUGAGGAGCGAAAGCGUGGGGAGCGAACAGG
rnacentral:rRNA from 1 species